GGUCAAGCUACAAAGAGCUCACGGCGGAUACCUUGGCACACAGAGGCGAUGAAGGACGUGGUUACCUGCGAUAAGUCUCGGGGAGCUGGAAACACGCUUUGAUCCGGGAAUUUCCGAAUGGGGCAACCCCUAGUACGGCCAGCUGAAUCCAUAGGCUGGCGCGAGCCAACCCAGCGAAC
rnacentral:rRNA from 1 species